rnacentral:rRNA from 1 species
CCCUUAGAUGUUCUGGGCCGCACGCGCGCUACACUGAUGCAUUCAACGAGUCUAAAACCUGCUCUGAUAGGGGUGGGUAAUCUUUUGAAUGUGCAUCGUGAUUGGGAUAGAUGAUUGCAAUUUUUCAUCUUCAACGAGGAAUGCCUAGUAAACGCAAGUCAUCAGCUUGCAUUGAUUACGUCCCUGCCCUUUGUACACACCGCCCGUCGCACCUACCGAUUGAAUGGUCCGGUGAAAACCUCGGAUUCUUGCUUGAUUCCAGUAAUGGAGACUUGCGAGGAGAAGUCGUUUAAACCUUACCAUUUAGAGGAAGGUGAAGUCGUAACA